CCUUUUCCCUGCCCCCGGAUAAAACCUCUGAGUUCGCCAUUGUUCUUGUCUUUGCCUCUGGAACCUUUGACAGUGUAGAAGCAAUAAAUGCUCCUGUUGGAACCCACACAAAGACCCUUCCUGCCUCUUUUGACAUGGACCUUAUACUGAAGCUAGCCAUGCAUUUGUGCAUGCAUGCGUGUGAGUCACAGAGUCGGACAGAGACAGUAAUAGGAUUGCAGGACCUCCAGCCAGCACCGAGGGACUCUCGGGGAGAACCUUCGAUUCCUGGUCUGAAGGAAAUUGGAGCAAGACCCCUGCUGAGGAGGCGAGUGAGUGAGAGGCUUUCAUGGGUGCCUGGCAUCCGGCCAGCAUCAAACCACAACAGGCAAUGGUAGAUGUCAUAGCUGCAAGUGUGCCCAGCGAGAAGAUCUCCUUGGACAAGUAACUGUUACAAAAACAGAUCGACAGGCAGCACGGUAUCCGAGAAUGCGGGCAGAUUGAUGCGUUGUAUUUUACCCUGUCCCAGGCUGAGGGACAGCCUGCCUUUAGGCUGCACAAGACGAAGGUAAGCCAAAAUCCAAUCUCAAGCUGACUGACAUAAGUAAUUCCCAAUAUGGAGACUAGAUGCUCUUCUGUGCUCGGGUGUGUUGGUUUUGCACGGCCUGAUUUUUGGUAGUGGGGGGGCCACAGAGGUGGCUUCUGUGAGAAGCUGAUAGAA